rnacentral:rRNA from 1 species
AUGCUUCCCGCACUGAGCACCCGCCCUCUACACAGUCAGGAUCGUCGCACGCACACUCUGGUUGGGGCUGGCCCUCGCCGCCGUGAUUCUCACGGUCUUUGGGAGUUGGACUGGCUUCAUGUUCCUUCCGCUGCCACCACCAUCGCCAGUCCCUCCGCUGCUGUCGCCUCUGUUACUGGUUCCUUCAAGCAGUGGCAUCAUCGACUUGGUCAUCUGUGUGGUUCUCGGUUAUCGUCUUUAGUUCGUCGAGGUCUUCUGGGGUCUGUCUCAGGAGAUGUCUCUUUAGAGUGUCAGGGUUGUCGUCUUGGCAAGCAGAUUCAGUUACCAUAUUCACAUAGUGAGUCAGUGUCUAAGCGUCCUUUUGAUUUAGUCCAUUCUGAUGUAUGGGGUCCGGCUCCUUUCGCUUCGAAAGGUGGUCAUAAAUACUAUAUUAUUUUCAUCGAUGAUUUUUCUCGUUACACAUGGCUUUAUUUCAUGACUUCUCGUAGUGAGGUGUUGUCUAUUUAUAAGCGUUUUGCUGCCAUGGUUCAUACUCAGUUCUCUUCACCCAUUCGUGUUUUUCGUGCUGACUCUGCUGGCGAGUAUAUCUCUAAGAUGUUGCGUGGUGUUCUUGCUGAGCAGGGUACUCUUGCCCAGUUCUCUUGUCCUGGUGCUCAUGCUCAGAAUGGCGUGUCUGAGCGCAAGCAUCGUCACCUUCUUGAGACGGCUCGUGCGAUGAUGAUCGCCGCCUCUCUUCCGCCUCAUUUUUGGGCCGAGGCUAUCUCCACUUCCGCCUAUCUCAUCAACCUUCAGCCGUCCGCUGCUUUGCAGGGUGGUGUUCCUUUUGAGUGUCUUUUUGAUCGUUCUCCCGAUUAUUCGAUGCUUCGCUUGUUUGGUUGUGUUUGCUAUGUUCUUCUAGCCCCUCGUGAACGCACCAAACUGACCGCUCAGUCUGUUGACUGUGUCUUCUUAGGCUACAGUGAUGAACAUAAGGGCUAUCGUUGUUGGGAUCCUAUCGGUCGUCGGAUGCGUAUCUCUCGAGACGUGACUUUUGAUGAGUCUCGUCCUUUCUUUCCACGCCCAUCUUCCUCGAUAUUUUCCAUGGAGGAUAUCUCUUUCCUCACUUUUCCUGACUCACCUAUCACCCCCGUCGGGCCUGUGCCUAUUUGUUCCACUCCCUCUGCUACUCCACCCCUCGUCGAUUUGCAGCCACCAUCUUCCCCGGUCUCCUCACCUAGCAUGUCACCGGAUUCUACACCUUCAUCUCCGGUGACUUCUUCGUCGCCACCCCCCGAUUCUACCUUGGCGAUUCCUCCUUCUAUUGUUCCAUCUUUUCCUCAGCAUUACACUCGUCGUUCACGACCUGUGGAUGCUUCCUUGGAUGAGUCGUCCUCUUCCUCUCAGCCUACUUAUGGCUUGCGUUCUCGUCCUCGUCCGCCUGUUGAUCGCUUUGGAUUUCCCACCGCUGGUGCUGCUGUUCUUGAGCCGACUUCUUACCGUCAGGCUGUUGUUCAUCCUGAAUGGCAGUUUGCGAUGGCAGAGGAGAUUGCUGCUCUUGAACGCACUGGUACCUGGGAUCUUGUUUCUCUUCCUCCCGGAGUCCGUCCCAUCACUUGUAAGUGGGUCUACAAGGUUAAGACUCGCUCCGAUGGUUCUCUUGAGCGUCACAAAGCUCGUCUCGUGGCUCGUGGUUUUCAGCAGGAGCAUGGUCGUGAUUAUGACGAGACUUUUGCUCCUGUGGCCCAUAUGACCACUAUUCGUACACUUCUUGCCGUUGCCUCUGCACGCCACUGGUCUAUAUCUCAAUUUGAUGUUAAGAAUGCCUUUCUUAAUGGUGAGCUGCGUGAGGAGGUGUACAUGCAGCCACCCCCUGGGUAUUCUGUUCCUGAUGGCAUGGUAUGUCGUCUUCGUCGCUCUCUCUAUGGCCUUAAGCAAGCCCCUCGUGCCUGGUUUGAGCGUUUUGCCUCUAUGGUCACUACUGCUGGUUUUUCAGCAAGUGCUCAUGAUCCAGCCUUGUUUAUUCACCUUUCUCCUCGUGGUCGGACUCUUCUUCUCUAUGUUGAUGACAUGGUCAUCACUGGGGAUGACCCCGAGUAUAUUGCCUUUGUAAAGGCCCGUCUUAAUGAGCAGUUUCUUAUGUCUGAUCUUGGACCUCUUCGCUACUUUCUUGGGAUUCAAGUCUCUUCUACCUCUGAUGGCUUUUUUAUAUCCCAGGAAAAGUAUAUCCAGGAUCUUCUUGCUCGUGCUGCUCUUACUGACGAGCGCAUUGUUGAGACUCCUAUGGAGCUCAAUGUUAACCUCCGUGCUACUGAUGGUGAUCCUCUCCCUGACCCGACGCGUUAUCGUCAUCUUGUUGGCAGUCUUGUCUAUCUAGCUGUCACUCGUCCGGACAUCUCUUAUCCGGUUCAUAUUCUGAGUCAGUUUGUCUCUGCUCCCACAUCGGUUCACUAUAGUCAUCUCCUUCGUGUUCUCCGAUAUCUUCGGGGCACGAUCUCUCACCGUCUAUUCUUUCCUAGCUCCAGUUCUUUACAGCUUCAGGCCUAUUCGGAUGCUACGUGGGCUAGUGAUCCUUCUGAUCGCCGUUCACUUUCUGCUUACUGUGUUUUCCUUGGUGGUUCUCUCAUUGCCUGGAAGACGAAGAAACAGAUUGCAGUUUCCCGUUCGAGUGCUGAGGCUGAGUUGCGAGCCAUGGCUCUUUUGACGGCAGAGGUGACUUGGUUACGGUGGUUACUUCAGGAUUUUGGUGUUUCUGUCACUACACCGACUCUGCUUUUAUCUGACAGUACAGGUGCUAUUAGCAUUGCGCGCGAUCCUGUGAAGCAUGAGCUCACCAAGCAUAUUGGUGUUGAUGCUUUCUAUGUGCGCGCUGCUGUGCAGGAUCGGGUUAUUGCUCUUCAGUAUGUGCCUUCCGAGUUACAGUUGGCAGAUUUCCUGACGAAGGCCCAGACUAGAGCACAACAUGGCUUUUAUCUCUCCAAACUCAGUGUUGUUCAUCCACCAUGA